CCUUCAUUUCGGGGGGGAGCUUUUAAGGGGUGAGAUCUGGCUGGAGUCGGCCCUGAUGGCACGGCAGAGAGCAAACAACUUGUUACGCGGUAGGGACUGAGAUGCGACUGCCCCGCUCACCUCUGCUCCGGGUGAUCUCAGCUGGGACAGCACAGUGGUGAGCCAGCCUGCGCUGUGUACUCUGUCAUGAAUGAUACACAGCCUUCCCCGAGAGCCGUCUGUGGAAAUGAAUGCUGAUGAGACCAAACGGCAGAGCGCAUCAAGGCAGACAUACACCUACACCACGCUCUCGACUCUGUUCCGCUGGUUCUGCUUAUUUCUACAUUUGGACGGGGGGAUCUGCGACCUCUUCUGGACAACUGGGGUGAUUCCUUGAGCCCCAAAUUGAGGAUGAUGUGCCAGUGUCCAGCCCAGAAUGCACAGCAUACCUAAUUUGGGGCAGAAGACCUUUUCUGAAAUUAAAAGGAGAGCACCGACAAUAUGCGGCUGUUUUCGGAUGCAGUGAUACCUUGACACAAGACCUCAUCCAAGGAAUUGUGUUUACAGGAGAUUGAGUGGGUCCAAACGUUUCAGUAGCUGAGUACUCCAUUAUAUUCCUGAAAAAAAACAGCGAGGUGCCCAUGUGGCAAUUGAUGGGAAAUGACACCAAAUUUCUUCUUAUUCCAUUUAUGAAUAAUUCACAUAUGACAGACCGCAGUCUUUGACCUAUUUUCUCAUUUCCACGCACAGCGACAAUUUGAUUAAUAAAUUAUAAAUGGAAUUACAUCUGUGAAUUUUCCCAGUGUGUUGCGGCUCCUCAAAGAGGUGGUAUUGCCUAUCUAGAGAUAUAGAGACUGAAAAGACAAUGAAAACUGCUUGACCCUGGAAGUCAUCUCAUGAACACAUCCUCCCCUCAACUGUCUCCUUUCUCUUUUGAUUGCGGCUCAGUGAUUUAGGCCACCAUGCCUGUGACUGGAAGGUUGAUGGAUCAAAUCUCAGGGUUUCACCAUUGGGCACCUGAGCAAGGGGCUUACUUCAGGGCCCAUCUGACCUUGCUUUCUUAAAAAAAUGUACGUUUCUUUGAAUAGAAAGCAUCUGCUAA